AAAUACUAUUUUUUUCAAGGGUGUGACCAUGCCGCUUUAAUGCAAAUUUAAAGCCAAAAUUACAAAGCAUAGCUGAUUUGCAGAAAUUCAGUUAUUCCAGGCUAUUUUUGGCCUUAAAUUUUUAAUUCACUUGAACUUCCCAACAACUAUUGCUUUGGUUCAUAACCCUGGGUAUUGUACCUGCAUAUAUUUCCUUUUCUAUUCCUCACAGAACAAUUUGUCUGUAUUCUGUCCCCUUCCCUAGUUCUUUCAUCUAUUUUAUAGAUCUACAUUCUAUAACCGUUCUAUAUUCCCUCUCAUCCUUUCUGUCUUGGGUUUCUUCCCUAAAUUGUAAAAAAUUAUUAAUGUUUUCCUAUCUUCUAUCCCUUUCUUCUUUUA